rnacentral:rRNA from 1 species
UACGGAGGAUGCGAGCGUUAUCCGGAUUUAUUGGGUUUAAAGGGUGCGCAGGCGGCGUGUCAAGUCAGCGGUAAAAUGUCGGGGCUCAACCCCGGCCGGCCGUUGAAACUGGCGUGCUCGAGUUGGAGAGAAGUAUGCGGAAUUCCUAGUGUAGCGGUGAAAUGCGUAGAGAUUAGGAAGAACACCAGUGGCGAAGGCGAUUCUCUGGACUGUAACUGACGCUGAGGCUCGAAAGCGUGGGGAGCAAACAGG